rnacentral:lncRNA from 1 species
GGGAGGGGUGCUGUGCCAGCAGGGGAGAUUUGGAGUGGAGGAGCUCCCCUGCGGCCCCGCCACCACCCUCGCGCUCCUCUGCGCCGGCUGGGAGCCAUGGCCAGGCUCGCCCCGUCCCCUCCCCUACGCUCCUCCAUGCUAGCUGGAAGCGGCCGGGCAGAGCAGGAAGGCGUGUCGACCGGGCGGAGCAAAGGGGCGUCACCCGCACGGAGCAGGGGGGUGCAUCAUCUGGGCGGAGGAGGGGCGCGU